rnacentral:rRNA from 1 species
CUCAAGGGAACUCAGCAGUGAUAAAUAUUAAGCCAUAAGUGAAAACUUGACUUAGUUAAAGCUAAGAGGGCCGGUAAAACUCGUGCCAGCCACCGCGGUUAUACGAGAGGCCCAAGUUGACAAACACCGGCGUAAAGAGUGGUUAAGAAAAAACUCAUACUAAAGCCCAACAUCUUCAAGGCUGUUAUACGCAACCGAAGACAGGAGGUUCAACCACGAAGGUGGCUUUAUCUGAUCUGACCCCACGAAAGCUAAGGAACAAACUGGGAUUAGAUACCCCACUAUGCCUAGCCCUAAACAUUGAUAGUACUACACACCCACUAUCCGCCCGGGAACUACGAGCAAUAGCUUAAAACCCAAAGGACUUGGCGGUGCUUUAGAUCCACCUAGAGGAGCCUGUUCUAGAACCGAUAGCCCCCGUUCAACCUCACCCUUCCUUGUUUAACCCGCCUAUAUACCGCCGUCGUCAGCUUACCCUGUGAGGGUAAAAUAGUAAGCAAAACUGGUAAAACCUUAAACGUCAGGUCGAGGUGUAGCGUAUGGAGGGGGAAGAAAUGGGCUACAUUCGCUACUACAGCGAACACGAAUGAUGCACUGAAACGUACAUCUGAAGGAGGAUUUAGCAGUAAGCAGGAAAUAGAGCGUCCCGCUGAAACCGGCCCUGAAGCGCGCACACACCGCCCGUCACUCUCCCCAAAGACGCCAAUCAAUUAACUAAAACCUAAUAAUUAAAA